rnacentral:rRNA from 1 species
GAUGAACGCUAGCGACAGGCUUAACACAUGCAAGUCGAGGGGCAGCACGGGAGUAGCAAUACAACUGGUGGCGACCGGCGCACGGGUGAGUAACGCGUAUGCAACCUACCUAUCAGAGGGGAAUAACCCGGCGAAAGUCGGACUAAUACCGCAUAAAACAGGGGCACCGCAUGGCGAUAUUUGUUAAAGAAAUUCGCUGAUAGAUGGGCAUGCGUUCCAUUAGCUAGUUGGCGGGGUAAAGGCCCACCAAGGCGACGAUCGGUAGCUGGUCUGAGAGGAUGAUCAGCCACACUGGAACUGAGACACGGUCAAGACUCCUACGGGAGGCAGCAGUGGGGAAUAUUGGACAAUGGGCGCAAGCCUGAUCCAGCCAUGCCGCGUGUGUGAAGAAGGCCUUCGGGUUGUAAAGCACUUUUGUUGGGAAAGAAAUCCUGUCGGUUAAUACCCGGCGGGGCUGACGGUACCCAAAGAAUAAGCACCGGCUAACUUCGUGCCAGCAGCCGCCGUAACAC